rnacentral:tRNA from 1 species
GGCCUGCUGGCCCAAUGGCAAGGCGCUUGACUACGAUUCAUUCGAAAUCAAGAGAUUGCAGGUUCGAUCCCUGCGUAGGUCA